UACUUAAUAAUAUAUGAGAUAUAAAAGACCUAAUUAUGCACUCAACGGGUCUUUUAGGUGUACUAGGGUCCACACACUUGAUUGAAGAACAAAAGAUGAAAGGAUAUGAAACCCGUUGUUAAAUUUCACGGGUCUCUUCCUUCGUCCUUUAAUGCAUGCUCUCUUAAUUUUACAUUCUCUCUCCUCAAAACCCUAACCUCAAUCCCCAAAUUUAAAUCCUCAUCGAUCUUCUCUUCCAUCCGCCGACUAUCUUCCAUUUAAAUUCUCUAUUAAAGCUAUAAAAAUUUCCUAAAAAUGUUGAAGCGACUCUUACCAUCUCCUUAAAAAAAUCAUGCUCUAAGGUAUAUAGUUUUCUCUCUCAUUCGUGAUUUUUACUCCGUCUCUUAGAUGGUAUGUUGAAAUUCAACAAUGAUGUCUAUGGUCUUCUUCUUUUUUGUUUGUGAAAUUGCAUAAUUCAACCAUGAAAUCGUGCGUGGUCAUCUUGUUCGCUGUUUUUAUGUGGCCUUGAUGUCGGUUAGGAUGGAGGUUUCUGGGUUUUUUUUUUUUGUUUUGUUUGUACCUCCCUCAGAGUCACGGUCGAGAAAUGACGGCAUCUCCUUACGCUUAUUCAAUAGCAGCUGAGAUUUGUUCAAAGAAAUGAAGUAUAUGAAUUAGAUGGAGAUAGUGGACGAAAUUUUCAAAUACGGGAAGGAAGACAUAAUUAUGAUUUGCAAAUUUGUUGACUGCAAUACUUUGGUGCGUGGGGUUGAAAGAAUAAUAUCAAUUGAAUAUGUUUAGGAAUUGUGUUUGUAUAACUUGUUGAACUAAAGAGUUUUAAUUUUUUCGUUUUGUAAUUAUAUACUUGUAAAUUUGGAUCUGUAGCUUUGUAAAUGUUGUAUUUUUUUUUUCUUUAUUUCUCUUUGUAAAUGUUGUAUAAUACUAAUGUUGUUAUUUAAAAGAAAUAUUAUUGAUGUUAAAUUGUAAUU